rnacentral:lncRNA from 1 species
CAUGUUUUUGAGAGCUUCCUUUGUUUUCGUGUGGGACGUCGGAUUUAGUUAGGUGUGAUAGCUCCUGCACCGUCUAUGAGUGUGAGAUGCAACAUCUUUUUUGUUCGUUUAGCAAGGAGAGGUGAGGUUGUGGUGCCAGGUUGUUUUCAGGUUCUGGCUGAGUGAUGUCCCUUGGGGUGCUCUCUUACAUAGUUGAUUCUUCCUCUUCC